rnacentral:rRNA from 1 species
UACGGGGGGGGUAAGCGUUGUUCGGAAUUACUGGGCGUAAAGGGCUCGUAGGCGGCCAACUAAGUCGGACGUGAAAUCCCUCAGCUUAACUGGGGAACUGCGUCCGAUACUGGAUGGCUUGGAUUUGGGAGAGGGAUGCGGAAUUCCAGGUGUAGCGGUGAAAUGCGUAGAUAUCGGAAGGAACACCGGUGGCGAAAGCGGCGCGCUGGACCUCUUCUGACGCUGAGGCGCGAAAGCCAGGGGAGCGAACGGG